GUGCUUAAGCAAACCCUGCUGAGAGAACUGCUUUGUAGAACACCUCUGCUAACACAGAGAUCCCUUCAAUAGAGGAAUUGAAAGUGCAGUGUGUAAGAGAAACCUUUUCCUUUUCUGAAUUUUCCUGAGCUUACUGCAGGAUGUGAUCCUAGCUUGUCCCUGCCAUAGAUUUCCCUUUCCUGAAGCAUUUUUUUCUAGUUUCAUUAUCUUUUUGUCUAUGUUGAAUCAAAACACUGGAGGCCGGAGGCAGAGUAUUAUUCAGCUGCACUCCAGCCACAGCUAGCAGAAAGCCACGUUUGAUGUUUUCUGAGUAGGGUGAGCGCCUGUUCUCAGCAGAGAUGCCAACAGGGAAGUCAAGCUUGUUUUAUGCAAAGACUGAAGUAUUUCAGUAGCAUAUAGCUGCUUCCCAGGAGCCUCUCUGAAAGGACCAGGGGGUUUGCUGCACACACGCAUCUUGGGAAAAUGCCGCUACAUUUACUAUGGAAAACAUUCUGAAGGCAACAGAUUCAUCCGAGACGACCAGCUAUAAAACACUGCACUCUUUCGUGCCACUUCAGUCACUCCACACAAGAAGCACAAAUAGAAUCUAAAUUUUAAGCAUGUAACUAAAGUCCUCUAGUGCCUUCUGCUGACUUUGCCAGGCCUGUCAAGAUCAUCCUUCCAUCUCAGUCUGAGUAGUCACAUAGAGAUUGACAUGAUUGCCUUUAAGCAGGUCCCAUCCACCAGCGUGACAGACAGCUGUGGCAGAGCACCCGGCCUGACAGGAGGAGCAUGCUGAUGGAUUGCCUGGUCCAGCUGCUGCACGCAGGAGAGCUGGGGUCACACCUGGGCCUUCACUGAGCAUGCUCUGUUGGCUGGCACCGCACAAAAGCAGCGUGUUUAUCUCCUGCUCGCCUGUUGAGGGAGAGUGGCUGGUGAUAUCAAAGUGUUUAUAAAAGAGAAGGGCUAUAAUUUCAGAUGAAAAACCCCUUAUCUGUUCUAAGUUUUUUUUUUUUUCUUGUGAAUUAAGUGCUUUUGUUUCUGUCAUCUCCUAUAUGCUCACACACAUGCUCUUCAUAGGGUGUUCUUGGUUUUUCCACAAAUGAGCCUGUAUGAAUUAUUCUUUCUUUCAACAGGAAAAGAUGUAUCCAGAAAAUAUUUCAUCAAUUUUUGCUUAUAAGCAAAGGAAAAAAGGUUUGAACAGUUUUACAGGCAAACAAAAUUUUCUAAUUGUUAAAUAACAUCUCACAUUAAUUUACCUUGAUCUUCAGAAGAGGGGUCAUUUUUAAUACUGUGUUAGUAACAUAGGUUCUCUGUGAAGUUGGAAAGGCACUCAGUUAUGACAUUGAUAGUGUAUAUUAUUCCUGGUUUAUUACACAAUAUAUAUUUUACUUGUGUAGAGUACAUUUAGAAUUAAACACUUAAAUUUGGAAGGGAAAAAGGGCUUAAAAAGAGGGAUGUAAAAUAAAAUUGCCACCAGAUAGGUAUGAUUACUCAGGAGGGAAAAAUGUCAAUAAAAGUGACUGACGGAAUUAACAUAAUUAACAGCUUUACUAAUAUGUUCUGGAGGAAAGUUCUGUUUAAUCCCAUUUGAAGCCUACAUAAGAAAGGCUACUCUGAAGUUUUCAGUGAAAAACCAACAAUACAUAGAGUAUUUCUUGCUUCUCUAAGAAAUGGAUUGAGAUACUUAGAAUCAUGAACAUCUUUCUGUGGAAAAAAAAUCCUAAUACUUAAUAAAUAUAUCAUGUUAAGUGCUGCUUGUUACAGUGUGAUUGGCAUAGG
rnacentral:lncRNA from 1 species